rnacentral:rRNA from 1 species
GAUGAACGCUGGCGGCGUGCCUAAUACAUGCAAGUUGAGCGAACGGACGAGAAGCUUGCUUUUCUGAUGUUAGCGGCGGACGGGUGAGUAACACGUGGAUAACCUACCUAUAAGACUGGGAUAACUUCGGGAAACCGGAGCUAAUACCGGAUAAUAUUUUGAACCGCAUGGUUCAAAAGUGAAAGACGGUCUUGCUGUCACUUAUAGAUGGAUCCGCGCUGCAUUAGCUAGUUGGUAAGGUAACGGCUUACCAAGGCAACGAUGCAUAGCCGACCUGAGAGGGUGAUCGGCCACACUGGAACUGAGACACGGUCCAGACUCCUACGGGAGGCAGCAGUAGGGAAUCUUCCGCAAAGGGCGAAAGCCUGACGGAGCAACGCCGCGUGAGUGAUGAAGGUCUUCGGAUCGUAAAACUCUGUUAUUAGGGAAGAACAUAUGUGUAAGUAACUGUGCACAUCUUGACGGUACCUAAUCAGAAAGCCACGGCUAACUACGUG